rnacentral:rRNA from 1 species
AGUGAACGCUGGCGGUAGGCCUAACACAUGCAAGUCGAACGGCAGCACAGUAAGAGCUUGCUCUUACGGGUGGCGAGUGGCGGACGGGUGAGGAGUACAUCGGAAUCUACUUUUUCGUGGGGGAUAACGUAGGGAAACUUACGCUAAUACCGCAUACGACCUACGGGUGAAAGCAGGGGAUCUUCGGACCUUGCGCGAUUGAAUGAGCCGAUGUCGGAUUAGCUAGUUGGCGGGGUAAAGGCCCACCAAGGCGACGAUCCGUAGCUGGUCUGAGAGGAUGAUCAGCCACACUGGAACUGAGACACGGUCCAGACUCCUACGGGAGGCAGAAGUGGGGAAUGUUGGACAAUGGGCGCAAGCCUGAUCCAGCCAUACCGCGUGGGUGAAGAAGGCCUUCGGGUUGUAAAGCCCUUUUGUUGGGAAAGAAAAGCAGCAGGUUAAUACCCCGCUGUUCUGACGGUACCCAAAGAAUAAGCACCGGCUAACUUCGUG